rnacentral:rRNA from 1 species
CCUACGGGUGGCAGCAGUAGGGAAUCUUCCACAAUGGGCGAAAGCCUGAUGGAGCAACGCCGCGUGGGUGAAGAAGGUCUUCGGAUCGUAAAACCCUGUUGUUAGAGAAGAAAGUGCGUUAGAGUAACUGUUCACGUUUCGACGGUAUCUAACCAGAAAGCCACGGCUAACUACGUGUCAGCAGCCGCGGUAAUCCGUAGGUGGCAAGCGUUAUCCGGAUUUAUUGGGCGUAAAGGGAACGCAGGCGGGCUGUUAAUUAUGAUGUGAAAGACUUCGGCUUAACCGGAGUAGUGCAUGGGAACGUGGGAGACGUGAGUGCAGAAGAGGAGAGGGGAACGCCAUGUGUAGCGGGGAAAUGAGUAGAGAUAUGGAAGAACACCAGUGGCGAAAGCGGCUCUCUGGUCUGUAACUGACGCUGAGGUUCGAAAGCGUGGGUAGCAAACAGGAUUAGAUACCCGAGUAGUC